GGGCCCGUAGCACAGUGGUAGUGCGUGUGAUUCCAGAGAUGGAAUGGUAUAUCCACAAGGUCAUCCGUUCAAUCCGGGUCGGGCUCA